AAGAGAUAGAGACAUGAAGGUAGAUAUAAAGAGUAUGAUUAAUUAAUAGGUUCACAUCCCAUGAUCAUAGUUUCAGUAAUAUUUGCUUGACAAUAAAAUGUAGCUAACAUCCGAGCUAGACUAUGAUAUGAAGUUUUGCAUAACAUUCGUAGCAAACUAAUAAUGAGCUUGUGCAUCUUUUCAAAACUUGUUUCUUGACUAAAGAAUGAACAAAAGUUGGGCAUAAAAUUUAAUGUUUCAAUCUUCAUCAAGUGUUAUCCAAAAGCAUCAAUAAAAGCUGCAAAGAAAAAAAAAUCUAUUAGAUAAACUUUGAGAUGUAUUAUUAUUAUAUUUAAUGUAAAUUGUUCUAUUGUCUAAACUAAUAAGAAAAAACUGAACAGAUUAAAAUAUAUUGAUUAAGAUUAAAAUUGCUAUGCGCAAAUGCAGUCACCAACACCUACAUUUUGACUGAGUCUACUCCUUUUUCAAUUUGGGAGAGAGCUUUCUUUCUAUAUCUGGGCAUGUAACCAUACAUGUGCGUACUUCCUGGGACAUAGAUACCGAGGGCAAUAUGUCUUGCAUCGUUGUAAUCGAAAGAGAUGUUCCAUUUUCUUGACAUCCUAAGAGAAUACUUAUUGAAUCCCUUGAGAUAAGGCAGAGCACUAUACAUCAAACAAACUUCACUUAUUAUGCCACUAGGAUGAUACAGCAACAAGAAGGUAUACUUUAGCCAUAAGAGCACAAAGGUACAGAAACAAAGGCUUCUUUUGUCCCAAGCUCAGGGAAUGAACAAAAACUGGGGAGAAACUUGUUGUGUGUGAAAACCUCAUCUAAAGCUAAUUGAUAGUAUUCACAACGAUUUAAAUGACAACCGAUUAUGCAUGUGUAUGUUCCACAACUUCAUCUAUCAAUUGUGGCUGGAGGCUAAUAGUUUCGGCAGAUGGAGUCCAACUGAUACAUUUUACAGAAAUUUUAAUUUGUGUUUUCUUGUUCCUACUGAUGCAUCUGGAAAUAAUCUCUUCUGUGAUGUUGUAAAGCUUAACUAAUGUUGUGAUAGUAUCUGAUGUGUUUGACAGGUUAGUUGGCCUCGAAGGCCACUAUCUAAGCCAGCUACAACUAUGAAAAAUAACAAUAUAGUUGCUACUUUGCAUUCUAGGACAUUCUUAUCAGGAGAAGGUAUGAAUGUUGCAACUUUUCUUGCAAAAAUUACGUAAAGAAAACUACCCUAAAAUUACCCUCAAUCUUCUGGAACUAUUGCAGUUCAUCAAUCAUAUUACUCUUUAAUUUCUACUGGCAGAAACGUAUUAAAAUUUGUUUACAAAUGAAUGUGAAAAUUAAUUAUGGCUUAUGUAAACAGGGAAGUAUGCAACGCAGUAGCUGUUGUCAGGGAUAAUAAAAUUAGAUUCAUCAUGGCCUUUUUAUAACCUUUGGGAAAUGGAACUAGUAGCUCGACCAACGGUAUGCCCAUGUUGUUUGACCUUAACUAGUUUAUCAAGAAAACUUUCAACAAGAUUAUUUUAAAAAGUGAUUCUUGUUUUCUACACAACUGUGUGAAUAAUGAAUGGAAAAAACACCAUGGAAGAUCAAGGACUCUUCUAAUGAUAUUAAGGAUCUAUUAAACCAAUAUAGGAUUAUUAGCCACUGCUAUGUUGAUGCCAACAAGCUGAUAGAUUUCCUUCUAUAGGACACAAUUGGAACAAAGUUCCCACAUACACUGACUUCAUCAUAUUCCCAAAUUAAAUCAAGGGACUUUUGAAUUUGGAUAGAUAGAAAAUUCCAUCAGUAAGAACCAAAAGAGACCUACUAGACUUAUUUCUUAUCCUUAUGUUUUAAAUUGCUGGAGGAAUAUGUAACUUGUAUAUAGGUUAUUCCCCCUGUUGCAUUUAACUCAACUUAUGAUAAGAUAAGAUGAAGUAUCUAAUUUUCUUAUAGGAAGACUUAUUGUACAGUUCCCUCAAAUCACUCGUAACUUUUUGAUUUUCAAUGACGAACAAAAUGCAAUAUUUUGACAAAAAAAAACAAUCAGAUGGCACUAAGAAACAUAAAAAAUUACAUAUUCUAAGGCCUAUAAUCUUGUAUAGCUUUGUACUUACACAAAAUAGUCGCCAGUGAUUAAAAAACCUUCUUGUCUAUAGUCACUUGUGAUAAUAAAAACAUGGCCCACAAACUUGCUUCUCCUAAUAGUUAAGGAUGAUUUAGUUGCAUCCUCAAACUAAUAUAUAAAGAAACAACCAAGAAAAUUAGAAAUCGUAAUUAUAUUUUACGUCGGCUAUAUGUCAAAACUCCAGAACACUACACUAUUCCUCACUAAAUCACAAUAGAAGUAACAUUUUCUUAACUUUGAACUUGAAAUUUAAAUUCAUAUGUACAGACUUACUAGUCAUGCAACUACAGAAAGGAAUCUACAACUACAAGCAUACAAUGGUACCUUGAUGCCUACUAUUGAGCAAACAUUUUAGGCUCACUGGACAACACUUGAUUUGGGUGAAAAAACGUUCAGAUAAUACUCUUGAUUACACAUUAUUUGUUGGUGGCUUGGCAGGUGAUGUUACAGAUUACAUGCUUCAGGAGACAUUCAGAGCCAAUUAUCCCUCAAUCUAUGGAACUAAUGUUGUAACAGAUAGGGCAACAGGGCACAAAAAAGGUUAUCCAUUUGUUAGAUUUGGGGAUAAGAGUGAGAAGUUACGCACUAUGACUAAGAUAAAUGGAAGUUUUCUACACUAGGCCUCUGUACAUUAGUCCUGCAGCUAACAAGAAUAUUGGUGGUCAGAUGCAUGCUUUUAUAAUCAAAGUACUGGAACUCAAAAUGAGAAUGACCCUACUAAUACGACUUUUUUCAUUGGAAACUUGGAUUCCAAUGUAAUAGAUGAUGAUCACCUCAGGCAGGUUUUGGAAAAUUAUGAUUAACUGCUUCAUGUAAAUACCAGAAGGCAAACAUUGUGAUUUUGUUUAAUUUACCAACAGAAGAUGUGUUGAGGAAGCUCUAUGAGCUUAAGUGGAACUAAACUGGGUGGACAAACCAUCCACCUUCAAUGGUGUCGUAGCCCUUCAAACAAGCAGUAGUCUCGGGGUAAUCUGAACCAGUGGACUAUACACCAGAAUAUGACUCUUAUGUUUAUGCCCAACCUACUCCAAACCCAAUUAUGUAUUAUGCCCAACCUACUGAUCAAGACUCUUCCCUCUGUAAAACGCAAUACUUAUUGGUAAACAUAUAUACAAAUUUGACCGUGAAAUUUAAAUUCACAUAGACCAACUCUAAGGUAAAAAGUAUUUAGUCGAAACCUUUCAAAAUGUAAAAUAAAAAGUUCAACAUGAAUAACAGGACUAAUCCUUAUUUGGCUCACAAAAUUUCAACACAAUAUAUAAACUAGAAUAUUAUUCAUGAAAUACUCAGAUUUUUUUGAAUUCGAUAUGAGAUAUAAAUCUUCAAACACAUAAUACACUUUAGAAAAAUAAAUUGUCUAUUAGAUAUAUCAACCCAAUAAUUUUUCCACUGAUUAUACAAAAGAAAAGAGGUCAGAUUCUGAAACCAUAUACCCAUUUCAUGUUAGAAAAGAGGAAAAAGAAGAGUAACUGAGAUUAAACACGAAAAAACGACAUCAAUACAUGGAAGAAACAAGAGCAACUUGAUCUAAAGAGGAACCAACCUGGAAUUAUUUUUCGAGUAGAUCUGCAAUAGAAUUCCUUUUCCAGCUGAGAAGCAAUGACGAAAGGAAGAAGACACCAGAUUCGAUUUAGGGCAGAGCUGCUAUGAAAAUCUACAAUCAACGUUGAGAUUAGAUCAGAUAAUUGCGGCGUUGAUAUUAGAUCAGAUAGUUGUGGCGCUGAGAUUAGGUCAGAUAGUUGCGGCGUUGAGAUUUGAGGAAAGGGAAAGUUUGAGACGAGUAUGUGUUUUAAGAAAACAAAGGAUCCUUAUCAUUAUACUAUUGGUUUACUUAAAUCUUCUUGUGCCUAAUUUUUUUUAAAACACAGUUUUAGUUUUAUUUAAAAUAUAUUUUAUUAUUAAAUUUGGCAAAUCAUCUCCCG
rnacentral:lncRNA from 1 species